AUUGAACGCUGGCGGCAGGCCUAACACAUGCAAGUCGAGCGGAUGAAGGGAGCUUGCUCCUGGAUUCAGCGGCGGACGGGUGAGUAAUGCCUAGGAAUCUGCCUGGUAGUGGGGGAUAACGUCCGGAAACGGGCGCUAAUACCGCAUACGUCCUGAGGGAGAAAGUGGGGGAUCUUCGGACCUCACGCUAUCAGAUGAGCCUAGGUCGGAUUAGCUAGUUGGUGGGGUAAAGGCCUACCAAGGCGACGAUCCGUAACUGGUCUGAGAGGAUGAUCAGUCACACUGGAACUGAGACACGGUCCAGACUCCUACGGGAGGCAGCAGUGGGGAAUAUCGGACAAUGGGCGAAAGCCUGAUCCAGCCAUGCCGCGUGUGUGAAGAAGGUCUUCGGAUUGUAAAGCACUUUAAGUUGGGAGGAAGGGCAGUAAGUUAAUACCUUGCUGUUUUGACGUUACCAACAGAAUAAGCACCGGCUAACUUCGUGCCAGCAGCCGCGGUAAUACGAAGGGUGCAAGCGUUAAUCGGAAUUACUGGGCGUAAAGCGCGCGUAGGUGGUUCAGCAAGUUGGAUGUGAAAUCCCCGGGCUCAACCUGGGAACUGCAUCCAAAACUACUGAGCUAGAGUACGGUAGAGGGUGGUGGAAUUUCCUGUGUAGCGGUGAAAUGCGUAGAUAUAGGAAGGAACACCAGUGGCGAAGGCGACCACCUGGACUGAUACUGACACUGAGGUGCGAAAGCGUGGGGAGCAAACAGGAUUAGAUACCCUGGUAGUCCACGCCGUAAACAAUGUCGACUAGCCGUUGGGAUCCUUGGGAUCUUAGUGGCGCAGCUAACGCGAUAAGUCGACCGCCUGGGGAGUACGGCCGCAAGGUUA
rnacentral:rRNA from 1 species